AGCCUUAAAGCUAUAGCGCGUAGUUUUUGCCGCCCCCAUGAGGAAUUCAAAAGUUAUGACACCAACAUU